AUUGAACGCUGGCGGCAUGCUUUACACAUGCAAGUCGAACGGUAACGGGCCUUCGGGUGCUGACGAGUGGCGAACGGGUGAGUAAUGCAUCGGAACGUGCCCAGAGGUGGGGGAUAACGCAGCGAAAGCUGUGCUAAUACCGCAUGUGAUCUGAGGAUGAAAGCGGGGGACCAAGCAGCAAUGUUUGGCCUCGCGCCUCUGGAGCGGCCGAUGUCAGAUUAGGUAGUUGGUGGGGUAAAGGCCUACCAAGCCGACGAUCUGUAGCUGGUCUGAGAGGACGACCAGCCACACUGGGACUGAGACACGGCCCAGACUCCUACGGGAGGCAGCAGUGGGGAAUUUUGGACAAUGGGCGCAAGCCUGAUCCAGCAAUGCCGCGUGCGGGAAGAAGGCCUUCGGGUUGUAAACCGCUUUUGUACGGAACGAAAAGGCUCUGGCUAAUACCUGGGGCUGAUGACGGUACCGUAAGAAUAAGCACCGGCUAACUACGU
rnacentral:rRNA from 1 species